UACGUAGGGGGCUAGCGUUGUCCGGAUUUAUUGGGCGUAAAGAGCGUGUAGGCGGCUUGGUAGGUCUUGCGUCAAAACCUGAGGCUCAACCUCAGUUCGCGUGGGAAACCACCUAGCUAGAGUCCGGAAGAGGAGAACGGAAUUCCCAGUGUAGCGGUGAAAUGCGCAGAUAUUGGGAAGAACACCAGUGGCGAAGGCGGUUCUCUGGGACGGUACUGGACGCUGAGACGCGAAAGCGUGGGGAGCGAACGAGG
rnacentral:rRNA from 1 species